AUUGAACGCUGGCGGAAGGCCUAACACAUGCAAGUCGAACGAGUGGCGGACGGGUGAGUAAUGUCUGGGAAACUGCCUGAUGGAGGGGGAUAACUACUGGAAACGGUAGCUAAUACCGCAUACCAUCGGAUGUUCUCAGUUGGGAUUAGCUAGUAGGUGGGGUAAAGGCUCACCUAGGCGACGAUCCCUAGCUGGUCUGAGAGGAUGACGAGCCGCACUGGAUCUAAGACAGUGACCAGUCUCCUACGGGAGGCAGCUGUGGAGAUUAUUGCACAUGGGGCGCAAGCCUGAUGCAGCCAUGCCGCGUGGAUGAAGAAGGCCUUCGGGUUGUAAAGUCCUUUCAGCGGAGAGGCGUUACCCGCAGAAGAAGCACCGGCUAACUACGUGCCAGCCGCCGCGGUAAUAC
rnacentral:rRNA from 1 species